rnacentral:snoRNA from 1 species
AGGUGGAUGAAUCACCCCAAAUAUAUAUUUCUUGGAAAAGCUGAUCUAAAUGCAUCUAAAUCCCUACUGUCUACUCUCCUUGCACAGAGCUCCU